rnacentral:rRNA from 1 species
UACGUAGGGUGCGAGCGUUGCCCGGAUUUAUUGGGCGUAAAGGGCGCGCAGGCGGCCACGCACGUCCGUUGUGAAAUCGCCCGGCUCAACUGGGCGGGGUCGGCGGAUACGGCGUGGCUGGAGCAAGCUAGGGGGUAGUGGAAUUCCCGGUGUAGUGGUGGAAUGCGUAGAUAUCGGGAGGAACACCAGUGGCGAAGGCGGCUACCUGGGGCUUUGCUGACGCUGAGGCGCGAAAGCGUGGGGAGCGAUCCGG